GCGCCAUGUCCUGCUUGGCCUGCUGCAGGGCACACUCCAGAUCUGCCAGCUUGCAUUUGGCAUCACUGAGGGUCGCCUCGCCCUGCUGCUCGGCCUCGGCCACUGCAGCCUCCAACUUGGCACGCUGCAGGGAAGGCAGUUUGCAGAACUGCUGCAGCAACGGCCCUGGACUCUGGAGCCUAGCCCCCUGGGUUUGAAUUCUGGCUCUGUCCCGUGCAAGCUGUGGGCAAGUUGGGUAAGUGACUUGGCCUUUCUGCCUCAUGAUGCACAGCUUCGUCAUCCAUAGAAUGAGGCUAACACUAGUUCUGCCUCACAGGGCUGUUGUGAGCUAACAUGUCACAUGCAUUAAUACCUGAAGAGCACUAGGACAGUGCCUGGUACAGGCUCUGUACUGUGAAAGUGUUUGCUAUUAUUCUUAAAAUACCAGUUGGACCUCAUCCUUCCCCGAUUGUCUCACUUUUAAAAGCCAAAGUUCUCAUCUUGAGCUGCAAAUCCUGUCUCUUAAUCUCACCUUGCUACUCACUCCUCAAGAAAGGCAUUGCUUCUGCUGACAGGCUGGCCU
rnacentral:lncRNA from 10 species